UAUGUACUCCCUCCGUCCGAAAAAGCUUGUCCCAAGCUUGUCCUUCAAAUGGAUGUAUCUAGCACUAGGAUGUAUCUAGCACCAAAUUAGUGCUAGAUACAUCCAUUUGAGGGACAAAUUUUUUCGGACGAAGGGAGUAGUUU
rfam:Triticum aestivum genome assembly, contig: Triticum_aestivum_CS42_TGACv1_scaffold_486532_6AS